rnacentral:rRNA from 1 species
GUUUUUUCUCAGGCAGCAAUGUCUGAGAAACGUUCACUGUGAACAAAUCAGGACGCUUAGAGUAUGGUUACAAGAAUGACUCAGCGCAGUAUGAAUUCUUUGUUUUCUUCGGAAAACAAGCUCAACGAGAGCCAUCGGAGGUAGAUCUAUCUCAUGACGAGUGGUGGAAUACGGUGACUCAUGAGAGAGACACGGAGGCGAAGGCGUCUACCUAGAGGGUUUCUGUCGAUCAAGGGCGAGAGUAGGAGUAUCCAACAGGAUUAGAGACCCUGGUAGUUCCUACUAUAAACGAUGCCGACAGGAGUUUGUCAUUUUAUAAUGGCAGAAUCUUUGGAGAAAUCAUAGUUCUUGGGCUCUGGGGGAACUACGACCGCAAGGCUGAAACUUGAAGGAAUUGACGGAAGGGCACACCAGGGGUGGAGCCUGUGGCUUAAUUUGAAUCAACACGGGGAAACUUACCAGGACCAGAUGUUUUUUAUGACUGACAGGCUUUGGGUCUUUCAGGAUAUGAUUUUUGGUGGUGCAUGGCCGUUGGUGGUGCGUGGGUUGACCUGUCUAGCGUUGAUUCAGCUAACGAGCGAGAUUAUCGCCAAUUAUAUACUACGCCUAGGUUUCUAGGUUGC